rnacentral:rRNA from 1 species
UACGGGGGGUGCGAGCGUUGUCCGGAAUCACUGGGCGUAAAGGGCGCGUAGGUGGCGUCGUAAGUUUGUGGUGAAAGCCUGGGGCUCAACCCCAGGUCUGCCGCGAAUACUGCGAGGCUUGAGUACUGUAGAGGCAGGUAGAAUAUCGGGUGUAGCGGUGGAAUGCGUAGAGAUCCGAUAGAAGACCGGUGGCGAAGGCGGCCUGCUGGGCAGUAACUGACACUGAGGCGCGACAGCGUGGGGAGCAAACAGGAUUAGAUACCCUGGUAGUCCACGCCGUAAACGAUGGGUACUAGGUGCUUGGGGGAGCGACCCCCUGAGUGCCGGCGCUAACGCAGGAAGUACCCCGCCUGGGGAGUACGGCCGCAAGGCUGAA